ensembl:miRNA
UAACCUUAGCAGCAGCCUCCAUAAAAUAGCCCUAGCACCCAGAGUCCAAGCAGCUGCAGACAGAAUCGUAAAGGCCUCCCUGCAGAUGACUGGACUCCAGGCGCUCCUGGCUGCAACAGGUUGCCGUGGCUGUGGGGAG